CAGGAUCAGAGAUGAUGAGAUGAUCAGAGCCACGAUCCAGAAGACCAGUGACAGGAAGUGAAGACACACAGAAAGUUUAUUCAUCACGGGGCGAGUUUGAGACGUAAAGAGGAGCGUGGAGGCAUUUUGGAAAAUAAAGAAGAAGGCUGCAGCUGAUGAGAGACUUCCUGUUGGCUCUUCUCAAUAUUAAAUGAACAAAAACAAUCAAUUGUACUUAAAGCUUUUCUUAAGAAGAAAUAUGUGUUGCACAUACACCUGCUGCUACCUACCACCACCUCCCACCCAUCCCGGCACCAAAGAGGAGACUCCAUCGACCCCAGAUACCCCAACUCACUCUUCUUCAGGUUAGCUUGGAGCCCCGCCUUUACCUGCCCCAACACCUCACUUUGAACGAUGUAGUCAUCCGGAUAUCUGCAUACUGAGAGUGGGACGCAGGACCCGGUCAAUGAGCUGCUGGAAGGGGGUCCACUGGACUGGAGGGGCGCUUGGAUCUGGUGAUGCCUUGCUCUUUCUGAAAGGGGAGGACACCUAUCUGCUAUAGUU